rfam:Canis lupus familiaris chromosome 3, whole genome shotgun sequence.
CGGGGGAGGCCGGAUCCUGGGCUGUGUCCCGGCGCCCUGUGCUCCGGAGACUGCGCUGUUGGAUUCGCGCUCCCGCCCCGCAGCCCCCU